rnacentral:misc_RNA from 1 species
CGGGGAAAAAGAAACAGACUUCUACUCCUUAAAAAGAUAUACACGUAAUACAGAAGAAUUUCAGAUGAAGGAAAGAACAAAAUGAACUGCACAUGAAAUGUACAGAAAUGAAGUAGAUACAAGAUUAAGCAAAAAGGAUUUGCCCAGCCAUCCCUUAUAGACCAAGAAAUUUGAAACAAGAAACUGGCUGAAAAAUACAAUGCCUUGGCUGAAGGAAAAAUAGACUUGCCGGCAGAUGAUAUCUAAUGUACAUGCUGCUGAAAAUUCGGAAAGAACACAAAAUUUUCCGGCAGCAUUCAGAAAACAAAAACCUGGAUGCCCCAGUAGAAAUGUUUUUAAAGUUUCACAAAAACUACCCAGAACUGGUCAACUUCUUCUGAGACAGUGGAUCAUUUGUCUCCUCAUUUUUGUCCAUGGCCUUUCGUGCUAGCUCAUAACCAGCAAAGUUCAUGGCACCUAAAGGGGCAAUCCAGAAAAACCUUGGUACUGCUCCUUUAAAUAGUCCAAGGGGUCCCUCAUGACGAAGUAUGGAGAAGGCAACUAUUCUCAUUGGUAAGGAUCUUCCCCGUGCAGUCAUCAUUCUAGUUUUCAUCACAUCAAAUGGGGUAGUGACCACGGCAGCUAGCCCUCCGGAUAAGGCCCCAACUACAAUUGUUUCCCAGGGUUCUAACUCCCGUCGUAGAAGUUGUUGAGCAAAUUUUUUGGAUUCAGCAUAAAGUCCCAUGCCAGCAACAUAAAAUGGAACCUCACGGCAAAGUGUAGCACCAGUCCCACGAAAAAAUCCCUUCAGACCGUCUUGCUGCCAAGUACCAAUAAUAGCCUGCCCUACAUUGUCAAAAAGACCUGCCUGCAAGCGCUGCUU